rnacentral:rRNA from 1 species
UACGAAGGGGGCUAGCGUUGCUCGGAAUCACUGGGCGUAAAGGGUGCGUAGGCGGGUCUUUAAGUCAGGGGUGAAAUCCUGGAGCUCAACUCCAGAACUGCCUUUGAUACUGAAGAUCUUGAGUUCGGGAGAGGUGAGUGGAACUGCGAGUGUAGAGGUGAAAUUCGUAGAUAUUCGCAAGAACACCAAUGGCGAAGGCAGCUCACUGGGACGGUAUUGACGCUGAGACGCGAAAGCGUGGGGAGCAAACAGGG